UGGGGAAUCUUGCGCAAUGGCCGAAAGGCUGACGCAGCGACGCCGCGUGUGGGAGGAAGCUCUUCGGGGUGUAAACCACUGUUGCCCGGGACGAACAUCCACUUUCGAGUGGACUGACGGUACCGGGUGAGGAAGCACCGGCUAACUCUGUGCCAGCAGCCGCGGUAAUACAGAGGGUGCGAGCGUUGUCCGGAAUCACUGGGCGUAAAGGGCGCGUAGGUGGUGGCUUAAGCGUGCGGUGAAAGCUCGGAGCUCAACUCCGAGUCGGCCGUGCGAACUGGGCUCACUGGAGCAUAGUAGAGGCAGGUGGAAUUCCGGGUGUAGCGGUGGAAUGCGUAGAGAUCCGGAAGAACACCGGUGGCGAAGGCGGCCUGCUGGGCUAUGGCUGACACUGAGGCGCGACAGCGUGGGGAGCAAACA
rnacentral:rRNA from 1 species